CCUACGGGAGGCAGCAGUGAGGAAUAUUGGUCAAUGGGCGAGAGCCUGAACCAGCCAAGCCGCGUGAAGGAUGACGGUCCUACGGGUUGUAAACCUCUUUUGUCAGGGGACAAAAUCAGGCUCGAGAGCCUGACCGAGGGUACUUGAAGAAAAAGCAUCGGCUAACUCCGUGCCAGCAGCCGCGGUAAUACGGAGGAUGCGAGCGUUAUCCGGAUUUAUUGGGUUUAAAGGGUGCGUAGGCGGACUGUUAAGUCAGCGGUAAAAGCCCGGGGCUCAACCCCGGCGAGCCGUUGAAACUGGCUGUCUUGAGUUGUAGAGAGGUAUGCGGAAUGCGCAGUGUAGCGGUGAAAUGCUUAGAUAUUGCGCAGAACUCCGAUUGCGAAGGCAGCAUGCCGGCGGCGCUCUGACGCUGAGGCACGAAAGCGUGGGUAUCGAACAGGAUUAGAUACCCGAGUAGUC
rnacentral:rRNA from 1 species